AAUAGAACCAAAUCCCCUAACGAGUGACGACGACGUCCUCUGUAGUCUGUCCUAAAACCCUAACUCCCAAAGAACCCUCCGCUACAAUGGCAACCAUACUCAAACUUCCAGCCGCCAAUUGUACGAUUCUUCCUCCUCAGCAACAGAAGCGGGCAUUAUUGGCUGGAGCUGCAACCACCAGAUUGGAUGCUGCUACCAUCAUCACUGCUCGGAGGCAAACACUUUCAUUAUCAUCGUCGUUAGCAGCAGCAGCAGCAGCAUAGGUGAUGUCAGUUUCAGCCAUACCCGAUCAAAGCGUUGAGCUUGAGUAGUCGCUCUCCAAGAACAAGAUUGACAUUCCUGUUAAUGCUUUCUAGCACUACCCUUUUCUCAAUACCACAACUCUUCUACUCUAAAUCAAUAGUCUUUCGAGAAAUUUCAAUCAAAUGCCGUCGAACUCCCAGCAGCUGUGAUAAUUUGUCUUCUUUUUGUCCAAAAGGUAAAUGGAUGUAGUGGCAAGAUGGGGAAGGCUAUCAUCCAAGCAGCAAAUUCUGCAGGACUCACUGUGGUUCCAGUUUCUUUUGGCUCUGCUGAGGAAUCUGGCCAAACCGUCCAAGUCGGUACGAACGAGAUUCUAGUGCAUGGUCCUCAUGAAAGAUCCCUUUUCCAGAAAUAUCCCAAUUUGAUUGUCGUCGACUUCACUGUCCCGUCUGCAGUCAAUAAUAACGCAGAGCUGUAUUGCAAAGUUGGAGUGCCCUUUGUGAUGGGAACACUGCCAAGGCUGUUAUUUCUUGCUUCCAGAAGUUGGGGGUGUCCUUUGAUGUGGAACAGGUAUAUUAAAUGAUACAUGUUAAUUAUAGCUUUGGAUAAUUAGAAAUGGUAAACCGUAGCAGCUCCUUUUCAUUUUACCUGAUCUGGUAAA